AAAUGGCAUCGGAUUUCGACGCCAAUAAAAACUCCGUCGAAACGGCUGAUGAUCGGGCGACAUCCCUCGGCGAAGUCAACGAUAAUAUGUGCGAAAGACAUCCAACAAUAAGAAAGAAUUUGGGAAAGAUUGAAGAUUACACAACUAGGAAGUGAUAUGGUAUAGGAAAAGGUUCAGAUGCCCUGUAUGUGCAAUUGUGCAAAGCAUAUGAUUCCACCUCAAAAUCUUAAGGCUAUGAGUAAGCUUGAUAUCAUCUUUUUUAUUUUAUGAUUUUGUGAAAAGCAACCCUUAAAGAUUUUUAAUAAAGGGGUUUUUUUUCUAA